rnacentral:rRNA from 1 species
AACGUCGCGACCCGUCGAGGGCCGGCCCAAGGCCCGGGGGACCGAACGCUCGCGUUCGCGGGGCGGGUCUCCCGUCCCCGGCGCGAAUCCCCGGCGCCCGGCCGGCCGUCAGACGGUACAACGGCGGAGCAGGCUCGCUCGGCAGAGCGUCCGGCCCGGUGUCGGCGUGGUCGCCCGUCGGUGGUCGUGCCGAAAGCACGUCCCCGGCGCCGUGCCGCGUCCGGCCGAAAGACCGGUGCCCACGGACAGUCGUCGGCCCAGUCUCCCGUCAGCGACGCCGCAGAUUGGGGCACUCUCCCGACCCGUCUUGAAACACGGACCAAGGAGUCUAACAUGUGCGCGAGUCAUUGGGUUCGUCAGCGAAACCCAGAGGCGCAGUGAAAGUGAAGGCCGCCGCGAGGCGGCCGAGGGAGGAUGGCCCCGGCCGAGCCCGGGGCUCGCACUCCCGGGGCGUCUCGCCCUCACCGCGAGGAGAGACGCACCCAGAGCGUACACGUUGGGACCCGAAAGAUGGUGAACUAUGCCUGGCCAGGACGAAGUCAGGGGAAACCCUGAUGGAGGUCCGUAGCGAUUCUGACGUGCAAAUCGAUCGUCAGAGCUGGGUAUAGGGGCGAAAGACUAAUCGAACCAUCUAGUAGCUGGUUCCCUCCGAAGUUUCCCUCAGGAUAGCUGGCACUCGGAGGCAAGAGUCUCAUAUGGUAAAGCGAAUGAUUAGAGGCCUUGGGGCCGAAACGACCUCAACCUAUUCUCAAACUUUAAAUGGGUGAGAUCUCCGGCUUGCUCAACGUGAAGCCGGAUGCGGAUCAGAGUGCCAAGUGGGCCACUUUU